GGGGCCCGGCCUUUCCACUGGCAAGUCGACGAGAACCAGAGCUUCGGCUCUGGGGAAAGCGGCGAACGGGUGAGUAACACGUGGGUAAUCUGCCCUCGGCAUCGGGAUAGCCCGGGGAAACCCGGAUUAAUACCGAAUGGCCUCUCGCACUCUCGGGUGCGAUAGAAAAGGUGGCUUCGGCUUCUGGCCGAGGACGAGCCCGCGGCCGAUUAGCUUGUUGGUGAGGUAAUGGCUCACCAAGGCUCCGAUCGGUAGCUGGUCUGAGAGGACGAUCAGCCACACUGGGACUGAGACACGGCCCAGACUCCUACGGGAGGCAGCAGUGGGGAAUCUUGCGCAAUAGGCGAAAGCCUGACGCAGCGACGCCGCGUGCGGGAAGAAGGCCUUCGGGUUGUAAACCGCUUUCAGGAGGGACGAAGCCACUCGGGUUAAUAGCCUAGAGGGUGACGGUACCUCCAGAAGAAGCCCCGGCUAACUACG
rnacentral:rRNA from 1 species